UAACACGUGGGUAACCUACCCAUCAGAGGGGGAUAACACUUGGAAACAGGUGCUAAUACCGCAUAACAGUUUAUGCCGCAUGGCAUAAGAGUGAAAGGCGCUUUCGGGUGUCGCUGAUGGAUGGACCCGCGGUGCAUUAGCUAGUUGGUGAGGUAACGGCUUACCAAGGCAACGAUACGUAGCCGACCUGAGAGGGUGAUCGGCCACACUGGAACUGAGACACGGUCCAG
rnacentral:rRNA from 1 species